rnacentral:lncRNA from 1 species
GAACAAUCUUUGAUUUCUCACAGGUUUUCUUGAUGUGACACUCCGAAAAUCAAAACGAGGGGAGAGAAAGAGAACUUCAAAUAGAUACAAUGGCAUUUAGUGAAGAAAGAGUGAAAGAGGAAUUGGAAUGGUUACCUUGGAGAUCCUGGAGAAAGUAGAAAAACGAUGACAGCAAAUAUCUGUAUGGUUAUGUGUUCACCCAGCUGUCACAUGGGGUGAGAAAAUCAUGGCCAUUUCCUACAAGCCCCUUUUCUAAAGAAUUGGAAAAAAGGCACAGCCAAAGACCCUGCAUAGUUCAGCUUGGAUCACAAGCACACCUCUAGACCUGUCACUUGAGCCACGAAGAAUGAAGUACUCUGAUUAGCCCAUUGUGGCCAGAAGAGCAGAUGCACUGACAAGAAAUCCUGCCAGAAUCACAUGAUACAUGUAGAUCUUUUAUUUCUAACAAUGUUUUCUUAUCUAUAAAAUGUGUAAUCAUACCUCCCAAUAGAGGUAGUAAUGAUGAUUAAAUGACAUUAUGUUUUGAAAA